rnacentral:tRNA from 1 species
CAGGGAGACAAAACUGAUUGUGAUGUUUGGAUUUUUUAUCUUCAAGCCAUAAUCCUGUCACCUUAGGUCGAUCGGUACCUCACUUUGAUAUUUGAAAAGUAUUAAAUUCAGUUCCUAAACUUUGUCUAGGUCACACCCAACAAGGGUUCUCCUGGGCCAUUAGCUCAGGUGGUUAGAGCGCACCCCUGAUAAGGGUGAGGUCCCUGGUUCAAGUCCAGGAUGGCCCAUUCGGUGUUGGGGGUAUAGCUCAGUUGGUAGAGCGCCUGCUUUGCAAGCAGGAUGUCAGCGGUUCGAGUCCGCUUACCUCCACUGAUCGACCUUCUGAAAUCGAAGUUUAUGGAGACUUUUCUUCGAUGUGAUCUAGAAUUUGUUCCUGAAUAAAUGAACCUAGCUUCUUAUCAUUCCAACUAAAAUAAUUAGUUUUGGUUGAUAUGACGCUGGGCUCUCCUGCAAUUUAACUUGCGGAGUAGUUCAGUAGAACCUUGACAACUGCAUAGGUGAGUCUGGAAAGAAUAAAGCAUCUCAUGGAUGAAUUAUUUUCCUGAACUGAGAUAUAUAGAUGUUUUAUAUAACAUCUAUAUUACUAAAUUCUUUGAGGAUAAUAGUUUUAAUUCUUGAGCAAGAGCCAAGACUUUAUAACGUUUUUUGUUAUAAAGAAUUAU